rnacentral:rRNA from 1 species
UACGUAGGGUGCAAGCGUUAAUCGGAAUUACUGGGCGUAAAGCGUGCGCAGGCGGUUUUGUAAGUCUGACGUGAAAUCCCCGGGCUCAACCUGGGAAUUGCGUUGGAGACUGCAAGGCUAGAAUCUGGCAGAGGGGGGUAGAAUUCCACGUGUAGCAGUGAAAUGCGUAGAGAUGUGGAGGAACACCGAUGGCGAAGGCAGCCCCCUGGGUCAAGAUAGACGCUCAUGCACGAAAGCGUGGGGAGCAAACAGG